GGUGAUUUUAAAUCAACAUCUGCUAACGAUUCAAUAGUACAGAGAAGAUUAGCAUGGCCCCUGCAUUAAGGUUGUCAUUUUUAGUUAACAACAGUGGCCUAGUACU
rfam:Pseudogymnoascus pannorum VKM F-4520 (FW-2644) contig_769, whole genome shotgun sequence.